UUGCGGUUAAAAAGCUCGUAGUUGGAUUUCUGUUGAGGAUGACCGGUCCGCUCUUUGAGCGCGUAUCUGGUUCAGCCUUGGCAUCCUCUUGGGGAACGCUACUGUGCUUGAUUGCAUGGGGCGGUAUUCAAGACUUUUACUUUGAGGAAAUUAGAGUGUUCACUGCAAGCGUUAGCAAUUGAAUACAUUAGCAUGGAAUAAUAAUAUAGGACCUCGGUACUAUUUUGUUGGUUUCUAGAACUAAGGUAAUGAUUAAUAGGGACAAUUGGGGGCAUUCGUAUUAACGCGUCAGAGGUGGAAUUCUUAGAUUGCGUUACGACGAACUACUGCGAAAGCAUUUGCCAAGGAUGUUUUCAUUGAUCAAGAACGAAAGUAUGGGGAUCGAAGACGCUUAGAUACCGUCGUAGUCUAUACCAUAAACUAUGCCAACUAGAGAUUGGAGGUCGUUCUCUUUAUGACUCCUUCAGCACCUUAUGAGAAAUCAAAGUCUUUGGGUUCCGGGGGGAGUAUGGUCGCAAGGCUGAAACUUAAAGGAAUUGACGGAAGGGCACCACCAGGAGUGGAGCCUGCGGCUUAAUUUGACUCAACAC
rnacentral:rRNA from 1 species